CCUACGGGAGGCAGCAGUGGGGAAUAUUGGACAAUGGGCGCAAGCCUGAUCCAGCCAUGCCGCGUGGGUGAAGAAGGCCUUCGGGUUGUAAAGCCCUUUUGUCCGGGAAGAAAUUGUACGGGUGAAUACCCCGUGCGGAUGACGGUACCGGAAGAAUAAGCACCGGCUAACUUCGUGCCAGCAGCCGCGGUAAUACGAAGGGUGCAAGCGUUACUCGGAAUUACUGGGCGUAAAGCGUGCGUAGGCGGUUUGUUAAGUCUGUCGUGAAAGCCCUGGGCUCAACCUGGGAAUUGCGAUGGAUACUGGCAAGCUAGAGUACGGUAGAGGAUGGUGGAAUUCCCGGUGUAGCGGUGAAAUGCGUAGAGAUCGGGAGGAACACCCGUGGCGAAGGCGGCCAUCUGGACCAGUACUGACGCUGAGGCACGAAAGCGUGGGGAGCAAACAGGAUUAGAUACCCUGGUAGUCCACGCCCUAAACGAUGCGAACUGGAUGUUGGGCACACUUAGGUGCUCAGUGUCGAAGCUAACGCGUUAAGUUCGCCGCCUGGGGAGUACGGUCGCAAGACUGAAACUCAAAGGAAUUGACGG
rnacentral:rRNA from 1 species